rnacentral:rRNA from 1 species
GAGCAACGCCGCGUGAGUGAAGAAGGUUUUCGGAUCGUAAAGCUCUGUUGUAAGUCAAGAACGGGUGUGAGAGUGGAAAGUUCACACUGUGACGGUAGCUUACCAGAAAGGGACGGCUAACUACGUGCCAGCAGCCGCGGUAAUACGUAGGUCCCGAGCGUUGUCCGGAUUUAUUGGGCGUAAAGCGAGCGCAGGCGGUUUGAUAAGUCUGAAGUUAAAGGCUGUGGCUCAACCAUAGUUCGCUUUGGAAACUGUCAAACUUGAGUGCAGAAGGAGAGAGUGGAAUUCCAUGUGUAGCGGUGAAAUGCGUAGAUAUAUGGAGGAACACCGGUGGCGAAAGCGGCUCUCUGGUCUGUAACUGACGCUGAGGCUCGAAAGCGUGGGGAGCGAGGCAGGAUUAGAUACCCUGGUAAAUCCCGCGGCCAAUCAA